rnacentral:rRNA from 1 species
CCUACGGGUGGCAGCAGUGAGGAAUAUUGGUCAAUGGCCGGAAGGCUGAACCAGCCAAGCCGCGUGAAGGACGAAGGUGCCAAGCAUUGUAAACUUCUUUUGUCAAGGGACAAAAUCAGGCUCGAGAGCCUGACCGAGGGUACUUGAAGAAAAAGCAUCGGCUAACUCCGUGCCAGCAGCCGCGGUAAUACGGAGGAUGCGAGCGUUAUCCGGAUUUAUUGGGUUUAAAGGGUGCGGAGGCGGGCUGUUAAGUCAGCGGUAAAAGCCCGGGGCUCAACCCCGGCGAGCCGUUGAAACUGGCUGUCUGGAGAUGUCGAGAGGAAUGCGUAUGCCGUGAGAGGAAUGUGUGGUGUAGCGGUGAAAUGCAUAGAUAUCAGGCAGAACACCAAUUGCGAAGGCGACUCACGAAUCCGCAAUUGACGCUGAUGAACGAAAGCGUGGGUAGCAAACAGGAUUAGAUACCCGUGUAGUC